rnacentral:rRNA from 1 species
CCUACGGGUGGCAGCAGUGGGGAAUAUUGCACAAUGGGGGAAACCCUGAUGCAGCGACGCCGCGUGAGCGAUGAAGUAUUUCGGUAUGUAAAGCUCUAUCAGCAGGGAAGAAAAUGACGGUACCUGACUAAGAAGCCCCGGCUAACUACGUGCCAGCAGCCGCGGGAAUACGUAGGGGGCAAGCGUUAUCCGGAUUUACUGGGUGUAAAGGGAGCGUAGACGGCGAUGCAAGCCAGAUGGGAAAGCCCGGGGCUCAACCCCGGGACUGCAGUUGGAACUGGAUAGCUGGAGUGUCGGAGAGGCAGGCGGAAUGCGUAGUGUAGCGGUGAAAUGCGUAGAUAUUAGGAGGAACACCAGUGGCGAAGGCGGCCUGCUGGACGAUGACUGACGUUGAGGCUCGAAAGCGUGGGGAGCAAACAGGAUUAGAUACCCUGGUAGUC